UACGUAGGGAGCAAGCGUUGUCCGGAAUCAUUGGGCGUAAAGCGCACGUAGGCGGAUUGUUAAGUCAGGGGUGAAAUCCUGGAGCUCAACUCCAGAACUGCCUUUGAUACUGGCGAUCUCGAGUCCGGGAGAGGUGAGUGGAACUGCGAGUGUAGAGGUGAAAUUCGUAGAUAUUCGCAAGAACACCAGUGGCGAAGGCGGCUCACUGGCCCGGUACUGACGCUGAGGUGCGAAAGCGUGGGGAGCAAACGGGG
rnacentral:rRNA from 1 species